UCGAGACAGUCUCUCGCGAGGCAACGAAAGGACCGAGGCGCUUUGGCCAGUACAAUGCCGCGCAACUUGAGCGACGCGCCUUCGCUCAGUGUGGCCGCGUUGCCACACAAAGCUGUCGUGAUGGGGUUCGGGUCGAAGCUCAUCAUCGGCCGAUAUCCCCUUGACGAUGAGGCGACCCCGUCGCCACACAACUCCGUCCUGGUCGAUGACGGCCAGAUCGUGCGUGCUGUGGCAUUCUUGCACAUCCCUGAUGGCCCUCUGUGUGUUGUGAGCGCUGGGGACAACAAGUUUAUUAACGUGUACAACGUGUCGUCGUGGAAACAGAACAAUCCUAAUGCGCUUCAGAACUCGUCGGACGAUGACGAUGACGAGGGCGGUAUGGACACCGCAGACAUCUUGGACGACGAGGCGCGCAGGAAGUCCAAGUCGAACGCGCAGCCAGCGACCUUGAAGCAGCAACUAGCCAAGGCAGAGUACUGGAAGCCGUCGUACCAGUACGGGCCGCACACGAAGCGCAUCACCUCGCUGGCCACCUGCCCGGAGGGCACGAUUGUGUUUGCCGACAAGUUUGGCGAGGUUUACCGCAUUCGCUUGAGCUGGUCGCCGUCGCACACGAUCGAGGUGGACGGCGACGCAACGAAGCCGGCUACGUUUCUGCUGCAGCACUUCAGCACUAUCUCCACCCUUUGCCUCACUGCGCCCGUUCCGCGAAUCGAACCGGUGGCGGCCUCCGAGGAGCGCAGCGGUGUGGCAUGCCGCCGCCUGUUCACUUGUGACAAGGAUCGCCAUGCGCGUGUCAGUCGGUUCCCUGAAACAUACGUGGUGGAGCAAUUUUUGUGGACGCGCAACUCUGUGCAAUCAGCCGUCACGUGCGUGGCAGAGAUCAGCUACGUGGAGGAUGAGGCGGCGUACGACUCCUCAUACCACCAAAACGCAGCCCGCGUCAACAAGCACAACAAGUCGCUCAACGCCCCCUACUCGUACUACGUGACCGGCACGCACGCCGGUGACGUGCACUUUUGGGCUGCCAAGAACAACGUCCCGAUAGAGAGCAACAACGAGACGUUUCACCUCAUCUGCACCUUCCGUCCUCGCGCCCCGGGUGGCCAACCGGAAAACUUCGGCCCCGUCGUGGGGUUGACGGUGCUCACAAGCGUCAUGGAUCGCUUUGGCCACCCGCUUCACCCGCGCGACUGCCCUCGCGGCGUCCUCGUCGCGUAUGAGCAAUGCAGUGAUGUCUUCUUUGUGCCCAUCUACGACAACGUGGGCGCCUACUCUAUGCAUCCGGCAAUGGUGUCUGCGAGCCGCACGUCACUGGACGCCAGGCCGGUAGCCACGGUGAGCUGCAACGAGGCCACCGCGUUUGUGCUGAAGCGCAACGGCCACGUGUCCUUUGUGCACCUGUGCAUCGUGGCGCCGCCCGAGAACGGGGUGCCGACUAAGACGUGUAGCUUCAACGCCAACAUCCCGGCCGAGGUGCAGGAGCUGCCUGUGCGGAUGCCGUACCUGGAGGAGCGCAUCAAGGCCGUCAUGUGCGGGCCUGCCGCCGUCGAGGAGGGAGUACAGACUGCAACAGGGGCUGAUAGGCUGUCUGAGCUGGAGGCGCUCGACUUGUGUGCUUCAUGGCGCUACGAGGUCGUGGACCCCCGCACGCGGCGUCGGGGCAACAACGAGAUGGGCGGAGACGACUGCUCCAACGAAAGUGGCGGCGAUGAGAGCGAAGAGACCGGAUCGGCACCGAAAAAGGGAAACGGCAAGAAGAAGGCGCGAGUAGAGACGGAACGCGCGCACUGAGGCGUGCGUGCGCCGCUGCGUUUGGCCCUUUUUGUCCCUCUCGAUAUUUUCUUCCUUUGCGUAACUUCCUGCUGUGCGGACUCAGCUUGCUUGAUUGCGUGCUUUCUCCCGCGUUGCAGUCUGGGUGCCGUCGUUUGCGCGCUGCAUGCAUCGUGGCCGUUUGCAGCUUCUAUUUCUCGCUUCUCAUCAUACACCAGUGCCAUCAUUGAAUAUGCGGCAUCUCCUAUGUCCGACGGGGUGAGCUGGUGCGGCGCAGGCGCCGGAAACGUGUCGAGAGCACCCCCCCCCCCCCCCCCCCCCCCCCCGGGACUACACCAUGGCGUCAUCGGGGCUGCAAUGUGAUGGGCCGCCUCACGGCACUACGGGAUGCCGCGGCGUGAGGCGACUGGGAGAGUGAAACAUGGGACACGCUGGCAGAGUGCGGGGUCUUUGAGGGCCCUGACCCGCGGCUGGCGGACUUCCUCCCUGAGCUCAUCCGGCAUGCGCCCCGACCACCCCCUGUUGACCGCACGACGGGCGCCACCGCCUCCGCCCUGGAGCAGGACGCUGAGUGCGGCUCGCCCGGAUCAGGGCAUGCAGUCCCGCCAGGGUGCUUAUGGAGGCAAUCGCGCAGCACGCUUGUGGAGAAGGGGCGAGGAAGGGCGAGAGGUGCGCGUUAGGCGCGCGGCCCCGAUUCGAUGACAGGACGGUGUGUCCUAGACGUCGAGGAUGUAGCCGUGCUGCCGCUGGUGCGGGUGAGCGGCGGCUGCGCAUGCGUAUGUUUGCGGACCUGCUGCGGGUGUGGAAUGGGCGCAUCGAGAAAAAGGGAAACCCGCAAACGUUUCUCUUGCUACUGUGUGUGUGCGCGUUUCCACGUGGCGUAGCUUUGCUUCAGCUUCCUCGUCGUGCCAGUGGUGCGCAAAACACUUGGCGAUCGAUGCCACUCUCGGCAGGUCCCGCACUCAUUGGCUUGGCUGCGUUACUUUCUAAGCUGCCACUCGCUCGAAACCGCACUUCUCAGCCUUUGUUGCUCUUCAGAGCGCCAAGGGCCGACGAAGCGUAGGGGGCGUGGGCGUCAGUGCACUGGCGCGCAGUGAAGAGAGCAUUUUUUGGCUGAUAGAAGAGCGCGACAGCCACGCAAGUAUGUAUGUGCGUGUCUGAGGGGAUAGCUGAAGGAGAGCGGCGUGGGCGAAGUCGGCACACGAGAGCGAGUUGUGUUGUUUUUGUGUGCAUUAAGGAGGCUGUAGAGACGCGAAAAGCAGUGGCAGGACGCGGACGUGUCUGCUGCUCAACCACAGAGAUGAAGAGAAGACGAUGAAAACAUAAUCACGUGUGUGAACGGAAAACGAAGCCUUUCAACGCAAAAGAAGAGCAACGCACCCACACCUUCACCUUAGAUGAUCGGUGAUGUUGGCACAACACGUUCACUGCAGCCUCCUAAGCGGAUUCCACGCCGCAGCGCAGAUGACGUUUCUGUUUAUUUGCGUAUGUG
rnacentral:misc_RNA from 1 species